rnacentral:rRNA from 1 species
UACGUAGGUGGCAAGCGUUGUCCGGAUUUAUUGGGCGUAAAGCGCGCGCAGGCGGCUUCUUAAGUCUGAUGUGAAAUCUUGCGGCUCAACCGCAAGCGGUCAUUGGAAACUGGGAGGCUUGAGUGCAGAAGAUGAGAGUGGAAUUCCAUGUGUAGCGGUGAAAUGCGUAGAUAUAUGGAGGAACACCAGUGGCGAAGGCGGCCCUCUGGUCUGUAACUGACGCUGAGGCUCGAAAGCGUGGGGAGCAAACAGG